UCUGGCAGUGCUGACUGCUCGUUCAUGUGUCCUUGCUGUGUGAAGAUGUUUGCGUUUGUGCAAUAUAAAUUCGAUGGCAAGACGGCUGUCGUGAAGCUCUCCGCUAUAAAGGCUUUCACUCCUAAAAACGUUACCGAUUUUGAGUCUACUGGCCUGGGGACGAAGACACCACCGGCGAUUUUUAUGAAGCGCGGAUCCUGCAUCUCGAUGAAUCUGAGGAAGAGAUGGAGGCAUAGAAGGAAAAGCGUCCCAGGAAGGUUUUGGUCGACUUGCCACGAGGAAAGAAAAGGAGCAAGGAAAAGAAAGCCGAGUUGUCUAUGCCACU